AGUGAAUAGAUACCCUGGUAGUCCCAGCUGUAAACGAUGCGCGUUAGGUGUAUCGGUGACCACGAGUUACCGAGGUGCCGAAAGGGAAACCGUGAAACGCGCCGCCUGGGAAGUACGGUCGCAAGGCUGAAACUUAAAGGAAUUGGCGGGGGAGCACUACAACGGGUGGAGCCUGCGGUUUAAUCGGACUCAACGCCGGGAAGCUCACCGGAUAAGACAGCUGGAUGAUAGCCGGGCUGAAGACUCUGCUUGACUAGCUGAGAGGAGGUGCAUGGCCGUCGUCAGUUCGUACUGUGAAGCAUCCUGUUAAGUCAGGCAACGAGCGAGACCCACGCCAACAGUUGCCAGCUUGUCCUCAGGGAUGAAGGGGACACUGUUGGGACCGCCUCUGCUAAAGAGGAGGAAGGAAUGGGCAACGGUAGGUCAGCAUGCCCCGAAUUAUCCGGGCUACACGCGGGCUACAAUGGCCAGGACAAUGGGAAUCGACACCGAAAGGUGAAGGCAAUCUCCUAAACCUGGUCUUAGUUCGGAUUGUGGG
rnacentral:rRNA from 1 species